rnacentral:lncRNA from 1 species
GUGCUCUUCUAAUUCAUAAAAUGUGCCUUCAUUGACAAAAAAAUGCCGAACAAUCGGUGAAUGGUGAGACGAGAGAGGAGCCUAAUGGCUAAGAAGAACAUUUAGACGCCAAAUAUUUGUUUCUGAGCAAACUCAGCCCUCGCCUCCACCUCCAAGCCCGGUGUGACUGAGCCCCUCCUCACCAUGGUACCACCAUGCAGCCCCAGAGAAGAGCUGGGGAAGGACCCAGUCUGGUAGCCUGGAGCCACUGAGCACACUUUGGAGAGGACAAAUGUGAAGGGGGCCUGUACCAUGAUCAGGAGACCUGAAACCAGGC